GACGAACGCUGGCGGCGUGCUUAACGCAUGCAAGUCGAACGGAAAGGCUCCAGCUUGCUGGAGUACUCGAGUGGCGAACGGGUGAGUAACACGUGGGUAAUCUGCCCUGCACUCUGGGAUAAGCCUGGGAAACUGGGUCUAAUACUGGAUAUGACCUUUCUCCUUAUGGGGUUUGGUGGAAAGUUUUUCGGUGUAGGAUGAGCCCGCGGCCUAUCAGCUUGUUGGUGGGGUGAUGGCCUACCAAGGCGACGACGGGUAGCCGGCCUGAGAGGGUGAUCGGCCACAUUGGGACUGAGAUACGGCCCAGACUCCUACGGGAGGCAGCAGUGGGGAAUAUUGCACAAUGGGCGGAAGCCUGAUGCAGCGACGCCGCGUGAGGGAUGACGGCCUUCGGGUUGUAAACCUCUUUCAGCAGGGACGAGGCGUAAGUGACGGUACCUGCAGAAGAAGCACCGGCUAACUAUGUG
rnacentral:rRNA from 1 species